rnacentral:rRNA from 1 species
UGGGGAAUCUUGGACAAUGGGCGAAAGCCUGAUGCAGCAACGCCGCGUGCGGGAAGACAGCCCUAGGGUUGUAAACCGCUUUCAGCAGGGAAGAAACUGACGGUACCUGCAGAAGAAGAUGCGGCCAACUACGUGCCAGCAGCCGCGGUGACACGUAGGCAUCAAGCGUUAUCCGGAUUUAUUGGGCGUAAAGAGCUCGUAGGCGGUUCGGUAAGUCGGGUGUGAAAACUCUGGGCUCAACCCAGAGAGGCCACUCGAUACUGCUGUGACUAGAGUGCGGUAGGGGAGCGGGGAAUUCCUGGUGUAGCGGUGAAAUGCGCAGAUAUCAGGAGGAACACCAGUGGCGAAGGCGCCGCUCUGGGCCGUAACUGACGCUGAGGAGCGAAAGCAUGGGUAGCAAACAGGAUUAGAUACCCUGGUAGUCCAUGCCGUAAACGUUGGGCACUAGGUGUGGGUCUCAACCAACGAGAUCCGCGCCGUCGCUAACGCA